rnacentral:rRNA from 1 species
UACAUGGGGUGCAAACGUUGCUCGGAAUUAUUGGGCGUAAAGCGCGCGUAGGCGGUUACUUAAGUCGGAUGUGAAAGCCCUCGGCUUAACUGAGGAAGUGCACCCGAAACUGAGUAGCUAGAGUACGAAAGAGGGUCGCGGAAUUCCCGGUGUAGAGGUGAAAUUCGUAGAUAUCGGGGAGGAACACCGGUGGCGAAGGCGGGUCUCUGGGCCGUAACUGACGCUGAGGAGCGAAAGCCAGGGGAGCAAACGGG